rnacentral:rRNA from 1 species
AUUGAACGCUGGCGGCAUGCCUUACACAUGCAAGUCGAACGGCAGCGGACCUUCGGGUGCCGGCGAGUGGCGAACGGGUGAGUAAUAUAUCGGAACGUACCUUUCAGUGGGGGAUAACGUAGCGAAAGUUACGCUAAUACCGCAUAUUCUGUGAGCAGGAAAGCAGGGGAUCGCAAGACCUUGCGCUGAUUGAGCGGCCGAUAUCAGAUUAGCUAGUUGGUGAGGUAAAGGCUCACCAAGGCGACGAUCUGUAGCGGGUCUGAGAGGACGAUCCGCCACACUGGAACUGAGACACGGUCCAGACUCCUACGGGAGGCAGCAGUGGGGAAUUUUGGACAAUGGGCGCAAGCCUGAUCCAGCCAUGCCGCGUGAGUGAAGAAGGCCUCGGUGU